rnacentral:lncRNA from 1 species
UACAUCUGUAACCUUCCAUUCAAAUUAAGUUGGAAUUAUCACAGCACGACGCCUCCAGGCUAUAGGGCAGGGCACUUGGUGAGAAACUGACAGUUACAACCAAUUUGCCUCGGUGAUGUGAUGUACAAUCUUCACGUGCAUGAAGUUUAGGCUUACACUGAGAAACUAAGUCCUCUCGUAGAGCUAGCAGGUACAUUUGAUCCAAUUACAAAAAUAAAAUAAAACAAAUCG